AAGGAGUCAUAUUUCCACUAAUCAGGAGGUCUAGAAGGAGUCAUAGUUCCACUAAUCAGGAGGUCUAGAAGGAGUCAUAGUUCCACUAAUCAGGAGGUCUCGAAGGAGUCAUAGUUCCACUAAUCAGGAGGUCUAGAAGGAGUCAUAGUUCCACUAAUCAGGAGGUCUAGAAGGAGUCAUAGUUCCACUAAUCAGGAGGUCUAGAAGGAGUCAUAGUUCCACUAAUCAGGAGGUGUAGAAGGAGUCAUAGUUCCACUAAUCAGGAGGUCUAGAAGGAGUCAUAGUUCCACUAAUCAGGAGGUCUAGAAGGAGUCAUAGUUCCACUAAUCAGGAGGUCUAGAAGGAGUCAUAGUUCCACUAAUCAGGAGGUCUCGAAGGAGUCAUAGUUCCACUAAUCAGGAGGUCUCGAAGGAGUCAUAGUUCCACUAAUCAGGAGGUGUAGAAGGAGUCAUAGUUCCACUAAUCAGGAGGUGUAGAAGGAGUCAUAGUUCCACUAAUCAGGAGGUCUAGAAGGAGUCAUAGUUCCACUAAUCAGGAGGUCUAGAAGGAGUCAUAGUUCCACUAAUCAGGAGGUCUAGAAGGAGUCAUAGUUCCACUAAUCAGAGCUCCUAAAAUGACUCCACACACAGUGAACUACUUUCUCCAUCCAACUGUAAAAACAGACAUCAGCUGCUUCAGACUUGGUUCAGGGGUUCUCCAUGGAAACCAGAGUUAGUGUGAAGCUCAGACAGUGUGAAGGAACCUUCAGAACAUCAACCUCUAUGGACGGAGAAAAUUCUUUGGUCAGAUGAAGAUCAAUGAGUUCAGAUGGAGUCCAGAUGUUUGGUGGAACCUGACCAGGACUACCACAGUGGAUGGAUGGUCCUGACAGUGAAGAUAUUGUCAUCAUCAUAUUAUAUGAUAUUUAUUCUGUUUUACAUUAAA